GGUCGGUUAGCUCAGUUGGUUAGAGCGUGGUGCUAAUAGCUAUUGCUUGAUACGCCAAGGUCGCGGGUUCGACCCCCGUACUGACCA